rnacentral:rRNA from 1 species
AGAGUUUGAUCCUGGCUCAGGAUGAACGCUGGCGGCGUGCCUAAUACAUGCAAGUCGAGCGAACGGACGAGAAGCUUGCUUCUCUGAUGUUAGCGGCGGACGGGUGAGUAACACGUGGAUAACCUACCUAUAAGACUGGGAUAACUUCGGGAAACCGGAGCUAAUACCGGAUAAUAUUUUGAACCGCAUGGUUCAAAAGUGAAAGACGGUCUUGCUGUCACUUAUAGAUGGAUCCGCGCUGCAUUAGCUAGUUGGUAAGGUAACGGCUUACCAAGGCAACGAUGCAUAGCCGACCUGAGAGGGUGAUCGGCCACACUGGAACUGAGACACGGUCCAGACUCCUACGGGAGGCAGCAGUAGGGAAUCUUCCGCAAUGGGCGAAAGCCUGACGGAGCAACGCCGCGUGAGUGAUGAAGGUCUUCGGAUCGUAAAACUCUGUUAUUAGGGAAGAACAUAUGUGUAAGUAACUGUGCACAUCUUGACGGUACCUAAUCAGAAAGCCACGGCUAACUACGUGCCAGCAGCCGCGGUAAUACGUAGGUGGCAAGCGUUAUCCGGAAUUAUUGGGCGUAAAGCGCGCGUAGGCGGUUUUUUAAGUCUGAUGUGAAAGCCCACGGCUCAACCGUGGAGGGUCAUUGGAAACUGGAAAACUUGAGUGCAGAAGAGGAAAGUGGAAUUCCAUGUGUAGCGGUGAAAUGCGCAGAGAUAUGGAGGAACACCAGUGGCGAAGGCGACUUUCUGGUCUGUAAACUGACGCUGAUGUGCGAAAGCGUGGGGAUCAAACAGGAUUAGAUACCCUGGUAGUCCACGCCGUAAACGAUGAGUGCUAAGUGUUAGGGGGUUUCCGCCCCUUAGUGCUGCAGCUAACGCAUUAAGCACUCCGCCUGGGGAGUACGACCGCAAGGUUGAAACUCAAAGGAAUUGACGGGGACCCGCACAAGCGGUGGAGCAUGUGGUUUAAUUCGAAGCAACGCGAAGAACCUUACCAAAUCUUGACAUCCUUUGACAACUCUAGAGAUAGAGCUUUCCCCUUCGGGGGACAAAGUGACAGGUGGUGCAUGGUUGUCGUCAGCUCGUGUCGUGAGAUGUUGGGUUAAGUCCCGCAACGAGCGCAACCCUUAAGCUUAGUUGCCAUCAUUAAGUUGGGCACUCUAAGUUGACUGCCGGUGACAAACCGGAGGAAGGUGGGGAUGACGUCAAAUCAUCAUGCCCCUUAUGAUUUGGGCUACACACGUGCUACAAUGGACAAUACAAAGGGCAGCGAAACCGCGAGGUCAAGCAAAUCCCAUAAAGUUGUUCUCAGUUCGGAUUGUAGUCUGCAACUCGACUACAUGAAGCUGGAAUCGCUAGUAAUCGUAGAUCAGCAUGCUACGGUGAAUACGUUCCCGGGUCUUGUACACACCGCCCGUCACACCACGAGAGUUUGUAACACCCGAAGCCGGUGGAGUAACCUUUUAGGAGCUAGCCGUCGAAGGUGGGACAAAUGAUUGGGGUGAAGUCGUAACAAGGUAGCCGUAUCGGAAGGUGCGGCUGGAUCACCUCCUUU